AGAGUCUGAUCCUGGCUCAGGACGAACGCUGGCGGCGUGCUUAACACAUGCAAGUCGAACGAGAAUCUGCGGAACGAGGAUUCGUCCAAGUGAAGCAGAGGACAGUGGCGGACGGGUGAGUAACGCGUGAGGAACCUGCCUUUCAGAGGGGGACAACAGUCGGAAACGACUGCUAAUACCGCAUGACACAUAGAUGUCGCAUGGCAUUUAUGUCAAAGAUUUAUCGCUGAAAGAUGGCCUCGCGUCUGAUUAGCUAGUUGGUGAGGUAACGGCCCACCAAGGCGACGAUCAGUAGCCGGACUGAGAGGUUGAACGGCCACAUUGGGACUGAGAUACGGCCCAGACUCCUACGGGAGGCAGCAGUGGGGAAUAUUGGGCAAUGGGCGCAAGCCUGACCCAGCAACGCCGCGUGAAGGAAGAAGGCUUUCGGGUUGUAAACUUCUUUUGUCAGGGACGAGUGGAAGACGGUACCUGACGAAUAAGCCACGGCUAACUACGUGCCAGCAGCCGCGGUAAUACGUAGGUGGCAAGCGUUGUCCGGAAUUACUGGGUGUAAAGGGAGCGCAGGCGGGCGACCAAGUUGGAAGUGAAAUCCAUGGGCUCAACCCAUGAACUGCUUUCAAAACUGGUCGUCUUGAGUAGUGCAGAGGUAGGCGGAAUUCCCGGUGUAGCGGUGGAAUGCGUAGAUAUCGGGAGGAACACCAGUGGCGAAGGCGGCCUACUGGGCACCAACUGACGCUGAGGCUCGAAAGUGUGGGUAGCAAACAGGAUUAGAUACCCUGGUAGUCCACACCGUAAACGAUGAUACUAGGUGUUGGGAGAUUGACCCUCUCAGUGCCGCAGUUAACACAAUAAGUAAUCCACCUGGGGAGUACGACCGCAAGGUUGAAACUCAAAGGAAUUGACGGGGGCCCGCACAAGCAGUGGAGUAUGUGGUUUAAUUCGACGCAACGCGAAGAACCUUACCAAGUCUUGACAUCCCUUGACGAUGCUGGAAACAGUAUUUCUCUUCGGAGCAAGGAGACAGGUGGUGCAUGGUUGUCGUCAGCUCGUGUCGUGAGAUGUUGGGUUAAGUCCCGCAGCGAGCGCAACCCUUAUGGUCAGUUACUACGCAAGAGGACUCUGGCCAGACUGCCGUUGACAAAACGGAGGAAGGUGGGGAUGACGUCAAAUCAUCAUGCCCUUUAUGACUUGGGCUACACACGUACUACAACGGCGUUAAACAAAGAGAAGCAAGACCGCGAGGUGGAGCAAAACUCAGAAACAACGUCCCAGUUCGGACUGCAGGCUGCAACUCGCCUGCACGAAGUCGGAAUUGCUAGUAAUCGUGGAUCAGCAUGCCACGGUGAAUACGUUCCCGGGCCUUGUACACACCGCCCGUCACACCAUGAGAGCCGGGGGGACCCGAAGUCGGUAGUCUAACCGCAAGGAGGACGCCGCCGAAGGUAAAACUGGUGAUUGGGGUGAAGUCGUAACAAGGU
rnacentral:rRNA from 1 species